rnacentral:rRNA from 2 species
GCUGGCGGCGUGCCUAAUACAUGCAAGUCGAACGAACUCUGGUAUUGAUUGGUGCUUGCAUCAUGAUUUACAUUUGAGUGAGUGGCGAACUGGUGAGUAACACGUGGGAAACCUGCCCAGAAGCGGGGGAUAACACCUGGAAACAGAUGCUAAUACCGCAUAACAACUUGGACCGCAUGGUCCGAGUUUGAAAGAUGGCUUCGGCUAUCACUUUUGGAUGGUCCCGCGGCGUAUUAGCUAGAUGGUGGGGUAACGGCUCACCAUGGCAAUGAUACGUAGCCGACCUGAGAGGGUAAUCGGCCACAUUGGGACUGAGACACGGCCCAAACUCCUACGGGAGGCAGCAGUAGGGAAUCUUCCACAAUGGACGAAAGUCUGAUGGAGCAACGCCGCGUGAGUGAAGAAGGGUUUCGGCUCGUAAAACUCUGUUGUUAAAGAAGAACAUAUCUGAGAGUAACUGUUCAGGUAUUGACGGUAUUUAACCAGAAAGCCACGGCUAACUACGUGCCAGCAGCCGCGGUAAUACGUAGGUGGCAAGCGUUGUCCGGAUUUAUUGGGCGUAAAGCGAGCGCAGGCGGUUUUUUAAGUCUGAUGUGAAAGCCUUCGGCUCAACCGAAGAAGUGCAUCGGAAACUGGGAAACUUGAGUGCAGAAGAGGACAGUGGAACUCCAUGUGUAGCGGUGAAAUGCGUAGAUAUAUGGAAGAACACCAGUGGCGAAGGCGGCUGUCUGGUCUGUAACUGACGCUGAGGCUCGAAAGUAUGGGUAGCAAACAGGAUUAGAUACCCUGGUAGUCCAUACCGUAAACGAUGAAUGCUAAGUGUUGGAGGGUUUCCGCCCUUCAGUGCUGCAGCUAACGCAUUAAGCAUUCCGCCUGGGGAGUACGGCCGCAAGGCUGAAACUCAAAGGAAUUGACGGGGGCCCGCACAAGCGGUGGAGCAUGUGGUUUAAUUCGAAGCUACGCGAAGAACCUUACCAGGUCUUGACAUACUAUGCAAAUCUAAGAGAUUAGACGUUCCCUUCGGGGACAUGGAUACAGGUGGUGCAUGGUUGUCGUCAGCUCGUGUCGUGAGAUGUUGGGUUAAGUCCCGCAACGAGCGCAACCCUUAUUAUCAGUUGCCAGCAUUAAGUUGGGCACUCUGGUGAGACUGCCGGUGACAAACCGGAGGAAGGUGGGGAUGACGUCAAAUCAUCAUGCCCCUUAUGACCUGGGCUACACACGUGCUACAAUGGAUGGUACAACGAGUUGCGAACUCGCGAGAGUAAGCUAAUCUCUUAAAGCCAUUCUCAGUUCGGAUUGUAGGCUGCAACUCGCCUACAUGAAGUCGGAAUCGCUAGUAAUCGCGGAUCAGCAUGCCGCGGUGAAUACGUUCCCGGGCCUUGUACACACCGCCCGUCACACCAUGAGAGUUUGUAACACCCAAAGUCGGUGGGGUAACCUUUUAGGAACCAGCCGCCUAAGGUGGGACAGAUGAUUAGGGUGAAGUCGUAACAAGGUAGCCGUAGGAGAACCUGCGGCUGGAUCCCU